rnacentral:RNase_P_RNA from 1 species
AGUGCAACAGAAAACAAACCGCCGCAGCAAUGCGGUAAGGAUGAAACGGCGAGGUAAGAGCUCACCAGCGCAUGGGUGACCAUGCGGCUUUGUAAACCCUACCGGAAGCAACGCCUAUAUGGGACGGAUAGCGCUGCUCGCGUGUCCCGAAGGCGGCACGAACCUGUCAGCAAUGGCAGGUCUAGACAGAUCGUCGUUUAAUACAGAACCCGGCUUACGGUCUAUCUCGUUUU